GACGAACGCUGGCGGCGUGCUUAACACAUGCAAGUCGAACGGAAAGGCCCUGCUUUUGUGGGGUGCUCGAGUGGCGAACGGGUGAGUAAAACGUGAGUAACCUGCCCUUGACUUUGGGAUAACUUCAGGAAACUGGGGCUAAAACCGGAUAGGAGCUCCUGCUGCAUGGUGGGGGGUGGAAAGUUUCGGCGGUUGGGGAUGGACUCGCGGCUUAUCAGCUUGUUGGUGGGGUAGUGGCUUACCAAGGCUUUGAAGGGUAGCCGGCCUGAGAGGGUGACCGGCCACAUUGGGACUGAGAUACGGCCCAGACUCCUACGGGAGGCAGCAGUGGGGAAUAUUGCACAAUGGGCGGAAGCCUGAUGCAGCAACGCCGCGUGCGGGAUGACGGCCUUCGGGUUGUAAACCGCUUUCGCCUGUGACGAAGCGUGAGUGACGGUAAUGGGUAAAGAAGCACCGGCUAACUACGUG
rnacentral:rRNA from 1 species